AGUGAACGCUGGCGGUAGGCCUAACACAUGCAAGUCGAACGGCAGCACAGUAAGAGCUUGCUCUUACGGGUGGCGAGUGGCGGACGGGUGAGGAAUACAUCGGAAUCUACUUUUUCGGGGGGGAUAACGUAGGGAAACUUACGCUAAUACAGCAUACGAUCUACGGGUGAAAGCAGGGGAUCUUCGGACCUUGCGCGAUUGAAUGAGCCGAUGUCGGAUUAGCUGGUUGGCGGGGUAAAGGCCAACCAAGGCGACGAUACGUAGCUGGUCUGAGAGGCUGGUCAGCCACACUAGAACGUAGACACGGUCCAGACUCCUACGGGAGGCAGCAGUGGGGAAUAUUGGACAGUGGGCGCAAGCCUGAUCCAGCCAUACCGCGUGGGUGAAGGAGGCCUUCGGGUUGUAAAGCCCUUUUGUUGGGAAAGAAAAGCAGCAGGUUGAUACCCCGCUGUUCUGACGGUACCCAAAGAAUAAGCACCGGCUAACUUCGUG
rnacentral:rRNA from 1 species